GAUGAACGCUGGCGGCGUGCCUAAUACAUGCAAGUCGAGCGAACAGACGAGGAGCUUGCUCCUCUGACGUUAGCGGCGGACGGGUGAGUAACACGUGGAUAACCUACCUAUAAGACUGGGAUAACUUCGGGAAACCGGAGCUAAUACCGGAUAAUAUAUUGAACCGCAUGGUUCAAUAGUGAAAGACGGUUUUGCUGUCACUUAUAGAUGGAUCCGCGCCGCAUUAGCUAGUUGGUAAGGUAACGGCUUACCAAGGCGACGAUGCGUAGCCGACCUGAGAGGGUGAUCGGCCACACGAGAACUGGGACACGGUCCCGGGUCCUACGGGAAGGAGCAGUAGGGAAUCUUCCGCAAUGGGCGAAAGCCUGACGGAGCAACGGCGCGUGAGUGAUGGAGGUCUUCGGAUCGGAAAACUCUGUUAUUAGGGAAAAACAAAUGUGUAAGUAACUAAGCACGUCUUGACGGUACCUAAUCAGAAAGCCACGGCUAACUACGUG
rnacentral:rRNA from 1 species